CAGCCGCCGCGGGAAUACGGAGGGCGCGAGCGUUACCCGGAUUUACUGGGCGUAAAGGGCGUGUAGGCGGCCUGGGGCGUCCCAUGUGAAAGGCCACGGCUCAACCGUGGAGGAGCGUGGGAUACGCUCAGGCUAGAGGGUGGGAGAGGGUGGUGGAAUUCCCGGAGUAGCGGUGAAAUGCGCAGAUACCGGGAGGAACGCCGGUGGCGAAGGCAGCCACCUGGUUCACUUCUGACGCUGAGGCACGAAAGCGUGGGGAGCAAACAGGAUUAGAUACCCCGGUAGUCCCUGUCUCUUAUAC
rnacentral:rRNA from 1 species